GAAUAUCGGUGACCUGCCGUGGGAGGAAGGGAGAGAUGCUUGUUGGGCAGCAAUGAGAAGUGUUUUAAUGAACUAAGAAGAGACUUUCCAGAUGGCUGUGUUUGAUGCUGCCAACUCUACCAGAUGGAGAGGGUUCCCUCACCUGUACCGAAUCUGUACCUCUCUCCAGUUGUUUCCUGUCAAACUUGGAUUCCUGAAUGAGAUAACACUGGAAAUGGCUGAGUUAAAUGGACAUUUGUUAUUUCCAGUUAUGACUUAAUCCCUGGUUAUGAUUUAUAUCUGGUUUUAUCCUUAAUCCCUUUCUGCUCAUUUACCUUAGUGAAUCAGGUAGAACCAUUUAUAAACUCAAUAUUUCUCUCCCAUUUUCCUUUAUUUUAGCCAGAGGCCUAAGCCAGAACUGGCUUAGGUAUGAGAAGCCAGUCUCUGGGGUUGCUUUUCUCUUUGGUGCUGCAUAUUCCUCUGGAUAAAAACAAUUCCCAAAGUGAUGGCUCAGCCAAUGCUGUUUUGUAGUCUAGAGGCAGAAG